rnacentral:rRNA from 1 species
AAUGAACGUUGGCGGCAUGGAUUAGGCAUGCAAGUCGAGCGAGAAGGGUUUUGAAGCUUGCUUUAGAACCCGGAAAGCGGCGAAAGGGAGAGUAACGAGUAGUUAUCUACCCCAAGGCCCGGAAUAGCUGCGGGAAACUGCAGGUAAUGCCGGAUAAUAUCCCCGGAUCAAAGGUGUGAUUCCGCCUUGGGAGGAGACUGCUUUGUACUAGCUUGUUGGUAGGGUAAUGGCCUACCAAGGCUACGAUGCAUAGCGGGCGUGAGAGCGUGGCCCGUCUCACUGGGACUGAAACACUGCCCAGACACCUACGGGUGGCUGCAGUCGAGAAUCUUCGGCAAUGGGCGAAAGCCUGACCGAGCGAUGCCGCGUGCGGGAUGAAGGCCCUCGGGUUGUAAACCGCUGUCGUAGAGGAGAAAGGUCUCGUGAAGAGCGAGAUUUGAUCUAUUCUAGGAGGAAGUCGGGGCUAAGUUCGUGCCAGCCGCCGCCGUAAAAC